GAGAAAAUGUAAAUAAAUAAAUAAAUAAAUAAAAAAAAAUAAAAUAAUUAUAAUUAUCCACCAAAAUGAAUGAAAAUCAGUUGGUAAUCUAGGAGCCUGAGCCCACACAGAAACUAUCCCAGUGCUUGCUGCUGGUCCCUCUUUCCAAGGGGUGAGGAGAAUUUUGCCACGCGGAAGCUGCAAUUCUGUGAUCCCGCUCUUCCUUCAAGGAGCUCCAUGCCUCUUCCUGCCAAGGGCUGAAUGGGAAUUGCUAUGCAGCCGGUGCAGUUUUGGGGUAAAACGUGUGGGGAAACAGUUAUGAGCUCCCUUUAUCAUCUUGCCUUCAAGGGGAAUCUCCCGCCCACCUCCAAGCAAGCCCCAACGAUAUAUCUUGCAUCAUGCAGAAAGCUUCUGGCAACCAGCCUGAAUUGGUCAUGAAAGCUGAAGGAAACAAGGAUUUGCCAGUCAUCUCUCUCCAUCAUCAAUUCCACCCUGGUCAGCUGCUGAAAUGCCAGAAGGAGGAGCAAGGAGGCAGAACGGGCGGUGUAAGCCAUUUGCAACAGUCCCAAUUUAAUAUUCCGAUCAACUGUUUUAUUAGUCUCCUUGUGUUUUAAACGCUUUCUAGACGGCCUUGAGAAUCGUUUUAAUGGAAGGUAAAGAUUUAGCAAUACAUAAAUAAAUACAAUACAAUCAA